GCACAGCUGAGGAGUCCCACAAUAGGACAAAACGGCCGUCCAGUGC
rnacentral:hammerhead_ribozyme from 1 species